GACGUCAUCCGGCUGUCGGUUCUUGCGGCGCCGCAUGAAGUCGAACAAGCCUAACCUCACGCGGCGGAAACACUUCCAGUAUGUUAUUUGAUCAAUCGCAGCAACAGCCAACAGUGGUAAUUAAAAUUAUUUAUUAGUGAAUUUUCCCAUAAUAUAUCCAGCACGCGAGACAUUGGUCUUUGUUUGGUAUCAACAAACACAAGUGCGCGCGCUCACACAGUUUAAAUGCAAACGGUCAGUUUGACAGACACGGCAGAGAUUGUCCUUUUAUUCAAUCUUUCACAUAAUAAGGAAACAAGACUCAAACAAAAUCUCAUUUUAUCUUUGCAACGACGCCAUCUAGAGUAAUAGUACAAGGAUUACAACCAGGUCAAGGCUACUUCAAUGUCAUUCAAGGCGAACAGAGGGAGUGGCCUAAUCCAUUGGUCUCCAACAUGGUGCCCGUGGCUGCCCGCACAGAGCCUGUCACUUGCAUAAAGGCACGCCUUUACAAUGAGGAGAAUCAGGAGUCCGAUCAAAGCUACGCCGGCCAGAGAUCCUCCUACAAUGGCUGCUAUAUUUGGCCCCUCAGGACACUCUAUUACAAGAAACAUGAAGGUUGAAA